rnacentral:rRNA from 1 species
CCUACGGGACGCAGCAGUAGGGAAUCUUCCACAAUGGGCGAAAGCCUGAUGGAGCAACGCCGCGUGAGUGAAGAAGGGUUUCGGCUCGUAAACCUCUGUUGGUAGGGAAGAAAGAUAGAGGGAGUAACUGGCCUUUUUUUGACGGUAAUUAAUUAGAAAGCCACGGCUAACUACGUGCCAGCAGCCGCGGUAAUACGUAGGUGGCAAGCGUUAUCCGGAUUUAUUGGGCGUAAAGCGAGUGCAGGCGGU